rnacentral:lncRNA from 1 species
CCGCGGGUCAUCUGGUUGCUGGUAAUGUUCACCAAACUGCUAGCUGCUAGAUCUCUGAGCGUCCGUGUUGAAAUUAAAGAUGCGCCUUAGGCCCAUUAGACAAAUUUCAGAAAAAUCUCCAAGGGUCCAUGUAGGUGGUGGCAUGAUAAGGUGGUGGAAAGUUUAGUCUCAUCACGCUAGUGUAGGAUAAGUUGGACCCCUUUAUAAGGUUCUUUCUUCAAGAUGCUAUUGAAGAGUGAGAAGAGAAGGUGCCCUCGCGCACUCCUCCUCCGCCACCCGCCUCGCCACGACGCGCCGCGGGAAUGAGCCGAGCCGAGCUCGUACCUAUGCGCUUAUUUUUGCCGGUCAGGAACGGAGAAUACGUGACGGACAAGGCACGAUCCGAGACGUCGGAUCGUGGCUGCUACCGACUCGGACGUGGGUUUGGCCCACGUCUCUCCACCCAGCCGCCUUUAUAAGCAGGCUAUCGCCUACCCUAGCCGUCACGAGAAUUAGAUCACAUCUGCCUCACGCGUUCGUUCCUUGACUGCUACGGCCGCCGGCGACUCCGUCCCGUUUACCGCGUACACGGUUGACGGGAUAGCAGGCUCCGAAACCUCGCCUCUCCGGUUCCUGUACGGGAGAGGGGCGAUUAGGUUUUUGGGGAGCGAUCACGCGACUGCUCGCCUCCGUCCGUCUGCUUUGUCUACGUCCGCGUCGCCCUCGUCAUUGCCAUGUCUUCAUCAAGCGAAGCUGACCGUCUCCGCGAGAAGGCCGAAGCCGAGAAGAAGGCGACAGAGGAUACUGCCGCCGCCGCCGCUGCUGGUACGGCCAACUGGCCGAUCGAAGGGUAUGAUGUGUUUGUCUCUCUCCUAUUUCUGUCUGCACUAGUACUAUUGCCUACAUGCGUAGAUGUUUCUGCUAUAUGGGUAGUACUUGCUAGUAUACUCCGUGAUCAGUAUGUCAUGAACCUAGUCAAUGCCAUGUUAGUAAUUAUUUCAUGGAUUAAUCUGCUCGGAAAAUUGCCUAUUUACUCAACAAUCCAAAAACCUAACGUGUGUAGGAACUUUUCGAGUAAUGGUUUUGCUGCUGCACUGAAACCAGAUAAGUUUACCGGUACCUUUUUCAAGCGUUGGCAAACGAGAACCACCUUAUGGCUCACGGCUAUGAACGUGUUCUGGGUAGCCGGUGUCACUCCUACGGAAACUAUCACUCGUGAACAGGAGAAGAUGUUUAAGGAGGCCACCGUCCUAUUCCUUGGAGCAGUCAUUAGCGUGAUCGGAGAUAAGCUGGUUGAUGCAUAUUUACAUAUGCAUGUUGCCAAGGACUUGUGGGAGGCGCUCGAAUCUAAAUUCGGGACCACCGAUGCUGGGAGUGAGAUGUAUGUUAUGGAGCAGUUCCACGAUUACAAGAUGGUUGACAACCGUUCUGUAUUGGAACAACCUCAUGAGAUAAUAUGCAUAGCUAAGGAACUUGAGGUUCUUAAGUGCAAUUUGCCGGGCAAGUUUGUCGCGGGCUGUAUAAUUGCUAAGCUCCCUAAUUCCUGGAGAAACUUUGCUACUACUCUGAAACAUCAGAGGCUUGAGUUCUCAGUAGAGGACAUCAUCGGCCAUCUGAGUGUUGAGCAUAACUCGAGAGCAAAGGACUCCAAUGAAAAAGCGGUGGAAAGCUCUUCUGCUGCCAAUAUGGUACAUCAGAGGAACCUCAAUUCCCACAAGCCCAAGGGAAAGAAUUCUGUCCAACAGAAUACUGACUUCAAGAAGAAGGGAAAGAAGCCCUUCAAGAAGAAUAAGAAGGGAGAUGGCUGCUAUACUUGUGGUUCAGAGGAACAUUGGGCGCACAAAUGCCCAAACAAGUACAAGAAGCCGGCGCAGGACUCCAAGUCUGCCAAUAUGAUUGUGGGCAACAAUGAAAGUGGUGUAUCUGGGUACGGUAAUUUACUUACUGUAUUUACAGUUUGUCAGUCCACCGAUUGGUGGGUAGACACGGGUGCAAAUAUUCAUGUGUGUGCUGAUUUAUCAUUGUUCUCUUCUUAUCAGGCCAUCGGUCGCGGGUCCGUAUUGAUGGGGAAUGGCGCGAGUGCUUCUGUUCUUGGUGUUGGCACGGUCGAUCUGAAGUUUACUUCGGGAAGGAUCGUGCCGCUGAAGAACGUGCGGCAUGUCCUCGCCAUCAAGAAGAAUCUCGUUAGUGGCUCCCUUCUGUGUAGAGAAGGGUUUAAGUUGGUAUUCGAGUCUAAUAAAGUAGUAGUUACGAAAUAUGGACUUUUCGUUGGAAAAGGUUAUGAAUGCGGAGGUCUGUUCCGCCUUCCUCUUGCAGAUUUUUGUAAUAAAGUCGUGAACAAUAUUCAUUCGAGUGUUAAUGAAUCUGAAGUUUGGCAUUCACGUCUUUGUCACAUAAGUUUCGGUGUUAUGUCGCGGCUAGCAAAACUGAGUUUAAUCCCAACUUUCACUUUAGCCAAAGGUUCUAAGUGCCAUUCGUGUGUGCAAGCAAAGCAACCUCGCAAGCCUCACAAGGCUGCAGAGGAGAGACACUUGGCACCAUUAGAACUCAUACAUUCUGAUCUUUGUGAGAUGAAUGGUGUGUUGACUAAAGGUGGAAAGAAAUACUUCAUGACAUUGAUAGAUGAUUCCACUAGAUUUUGCUAUGUGUGUCUGUUAAAUACUAAAGAUGAGGCUCUACACUACUUUAAAAUCUAUAAGGCAGAAGUUGAGAAUCAACUUGAAAAGAAAAUUAAGCGAGUCCGGUCUGAUCGUGGUGGAGAGUACUUCUCAAACGAAUUUGAUUCAUUUUGUGCGGAACACGACAUUAUUCAUGAGAGGACGCCUCCCUAUUCACCCCAGUCAAACGGGGUUGCCGAGCGGAAAAACCGUACUCUAACUGAUUUGGUUAACGCCAUGUUAGAUACAUCGGGUUUAUCCAAGGCAUGGUGGGGGGAGGCUAUAUUGACCGCGUGUCAUGUCCUGAAUAAAGUUCCUACAAAAGAUAAUGAGGUCACUCCCUACGAGGAGUGGUCGAAGAGAAGGACGACGCUCUCGUACUUACGUACUUGGGGCUGCUUGGCGAAAGUCAAUGUACCGAUCCCCAAGAAGCGUAAGCUUGGACCAAAGACUGUGGACUGCGUUAAUUUGGGAUACGCUAAGAAUAGCGUAGGCUAUAGAUUUCUAGUAGUGAAAUCUGAGGUACCUGACAUGAAGGUCGGUACAAUAAUGGAGUCGAGGGAUGCUACAUUCUUUGAGGAUAUAUUUUCCAUGAGAGAUAUGCAAAGCACUUCUAGACAAGAAUCUGAGAUAACUCCUGAGCCUGCCAUUCCUAUGGAAUACUAUGAACAAACACAUGAUGAAAAUCCUGAGGAGGAUGACGAGGAAGCCCGUGGUAGGGGCAAGAGACAAAGGACUGCAAAGACCUUUGGUGAUGAUUUCUUCGUAUACCUCGUGGAUGACAAUCCCACUUCUAUUUCAGAAGCGUAUGCUUCUCCAGUUGCUGAUUACUGGAAAGUUGCGGUCCGUAGCGAGAUGGAUUCCAUCAUAGCUAACGGGACAUGGGAAAUCACUGAUCGUCCCUAUGGUUGCAAACCAUUGGGAUGCAAGUGGGUGUUCAAAAAGAAGCUUAGGCCCGAUGGUACGAUUGAAAAGUACAAGGCAAGGCUUGUGGCCAAGGGCUAUGCCCAGAAAGAAGAAGAAGAUUUCUUCGAUACUUAUUCACCUGUGGCUAGACUGACCACCAUUCGAGUACUACUCUCAUUGGCGGCCUCUCAUGGUCUUCUCGUUCAUCAAAUGGACGUUAAGACGGCUUUCCUGAAUGGAGAGCUAAACGAGGAAAUCUAUAUGCAACAACCAGAUGGCUUUGUGAUAGAAGGUCAGGAAGGAAAGGUGUGUAAGUUGCUGAAAUCUUUGUAUGGUCUGAGACAAGCACCUAAGCAAUGGCAUGAGAAGUUUAAUACAACUCUGACAUCUGUUGGCUUCAUUGUUAAUGAAGUUGACAAAUGUGUAUACUAUCGCCAUGGUGGGGGCGAAGGAGUUAUAUUGUGCUUGUAUGUUGAUGACAUACUGAUAUUUGGAACCAACCUCGAAGUAAUUGAGGAGGUUAAGUCUUUUCUGUCUCAAAACUUUGAGAUGAAGGACCUUGGGGUGGCUGAUGUUAUCUUGAACAUCAAGCUGUUGAGAGAUAAUGAGGGUGGGAUUACACUUCUGCAAUCCCACUAUGUUGAUAAGAUUUUGAGUCGCUUUGGAUAUUCAGACUGCAAAAUUUGUCAAACACCAUAUGAUCCUAGUGUGCUUAUUCGAAAGUUUAAAGGCACGGCUAUAGAUCAAUUGAGAUUCUCUCAAAUUAUCGGUUCACUUAUGUACCUAGCUAGCGCAACGAGGCCUGACAUCGCGUUUGCUGUGAGCAAACUUAGCCGGUUUGUUGCAAACCCGGGCGAUGUUCAUUGGCGUGCUGUUGAAAGAAUUAUGCGCUACUUGAAAGGUACUGUCAACCACGGGCUUCACUAUACGGGAUUCCCAUCGGUACUUGAAGGGUAUAGUGAUGCGAAUUGGAUCUCUGAUGCUGAUGAGAUGAAGGCCACUACUGGGUAUAUGUUUACUCUUGGGGGUGGUGCUGUUUCCUGGAAGUCUUGCAAGCAAACGAUCUUAACAAGAUCGACAAUGGAAGCAGAAUUAACAACAUUAGACACAUCUGGUGUCGAAGCAGAAUUUCUUAGAGAUCUUUUGAUGGACUUACCUGUGGUUGAGAAGCCGGUUCCGGCUAUCCUUAUGAACUGCCAUAAUCAAACAGUUAUUGUUAAAGUGAAAAGUUCAAAGGACAAUAUGAAGUCCAACAAACAUAUAAGAAUGAGAUUGAAGUCUAUCAGACGUUUGAGAAACUCCGGAGUGAUAGCGUUGGAUUACAUCCAAACGGCUAAAAAUCUGGCAGAUCCCUUUACUAAAGGGCUAUCACGUGUUGUGAUAGACAGUGCAUCGAGGGAGAUGGGUAUGAGACCCACAUGAGUUGCCAUGGUAGUAACCCAACCUAUAUGAUCGGAGAUCCCGUGAAGUAGGACCUGGGAAAACAAGCCAGUGGUGAACUGAGGAGAGUAACUUUACUAACCCACUCCGUUGAAGAUGCACAUAGAGUAACUUAACAGGUCUUCACUGAAAUGCCUUGAAUUGUCAGUUUGGCGUAAAGGAGCUUCACCACAAGUCUUACUAGUACUAGGCUGCCGAAGGUGACCCCUCGGGUGGAGCAUAUUAGUCACACUCCUAGCCUAUUCAUGAGUUUACUAGAGAUCACCCAAAUCUCAUAGGUUUAGUCCUGCCAGGUAUAUUACAACAGUGUUUGGAACGAGGGAACACGAUGUGCCCUUGAGAUCUGGUGGGGGAUUGUUGAAAUUAGAGAUGGGUCUUGGGCCCAUAAGACAAAUUUCAGAAAAAUCUCCAAGGGCCCAUGUAGGUGGUGUCAUGACAAGGUGGUGGGAAGUUUAGUCCCACCCCGCUAGUGGAGGAUAAGUUGGACCCCUCUAUAAGGGUCUCUCUUCCACAUGUUAUUGGAGAGUGAGAAGAGAAGGUGCCCUCGCGCACUCCUCCUCC